CGUGAUCUGUGCUAUAUAAGGCACGGGCCGGAGCUGCUCUGCCUUUUCCGCUGCUGCCGCCAUGUGUGUGCGGUGGGUCUCGUGUGGCCCCUCCGUUCAACGUGUAUCAGCUACACUCCUCCUUCCUGUGGCUUCAGUGCAGAUCUGCCCCCAAAUGUGGAGACCUAAUACUUCCUCUUCCCAAGGAUUUGCAUCCUGCACUUCAGAGGAAUGCAGAAGGAACAGCACCUGGCACUGGGAGAUGAAACUGUGAGCUGUUACAGGGUUGCCCUCAACAGAGCCCCAUGCCUCUUGUGUGAAAAACCACUCCACCUGUUACUGAUGUGGGUGAAGACAAGGCCUUCCUAAUUCAAGGCUUCCAGAUGUUUCUCAUUGUGAGGUGUGAUGGAGCUGGGAAGUGAGGGACCUGGUAGUGCUGCCAGCAAAAGGUGAAGCUUGCAUGGAGUUUGAGAAACAAGAUGGAUGUGCCUGAGGAAAGGACUGUUGCUGUGUUUGCAGCCUUACUGGGUGAAGAGGCAGCUCAAACUAGCAUAUGAAGAACUGAGAAUGUGGAAGAUUGCUGAUGAAUGGGUUACACUUGCAUGAACAGCAUUAAAAAAGCCAAUGUGUUUUUACCCCACUGGUCAUGUUUGCCUGAUAUUGAUUGGUGUGAAUAAAAAUCUGUAAACUCUA